rfam:Vibrio sp. J237 Contig_5, whole genome shotgun sequence.
GGGUCGUUAGCUCAGUUGGUAGAGCAGUUGGCUUUUAACCAAUUGGUCGUAGGUUCGAAUCCUACACGACCCA